rnacentral:rRNA from 1 species
UGGGGAAUAUUGCGCAAUGGGCGAAAGCCUGACGCAGCAACGCCGCGUGAGCGAUGAAGGUCUUCGGAUCGUAAAGCUCUGUCGGUAGGAACGAGGGGUAGAUGUAUUAAUACUACGUUUACUUGACGGUACCUACAAAGGAAGCACCGGCUAACUCUGUGCCAGCAGCCGCGGUAAGACAGAGGGUGCAAGCGUUGUUCGGAAUCAUUGGGCGUAAAGGGCGCGUAGGCGGUUUAGUAAGUCGAAUGUGAAAGCCCAGGGCUCAACCUUGGAAGUGCAUCCGAAACUGCUAAACUCGAGUCCCGAAGAGGGUGGUGGAAUUCCCAGUGUAGAGGUGAAAUUCGUAGAUAUUGGGAGGAACACCAGUGGCGAAGGCGACCGCCUGGUCGGUGACUGACGC